rnacentral:tRNA from 1 species
GAGGGCAUAGCUCAGUGGUAGAGUGCUCGCGUAGCGCACAAGAGGUCCUGGGUUCAAUCCCCAGUGCCUCCA